rnacentral:rRNA from 1 species
GAUGAACGCUGGCGGCGUGCCUAAUACAUGCAAGUCGAGCGAACGGACGAGAAGCUUGCUUCUCUGAUGUUAGCGGCGGACGGGUGAGUAACACGUGGAUCACCCACCUAUAAGACUGGGAUCAAUUCGGGAAACCGGAGCUAAUACCGGAUGAUAUUUUGCACCGCAUGGUUAAAAAGUGAAAGACGGUCUUGCUGUCACUUAUAGAUGGAUCCGCGCUGCAUUAGCUAGUUGGUAAGGUAACGGCUUACCAAGGGAACGAUGCAUAGCCGACCUGGGAGGGUGGUCGGCCGCACUGGAACGGAGACACGGACCAGGCUCCUACGGGAGGCAGCAGUAGGUAAUCUGCCGCAAUGGGCGAAAGCCUGACGGAACAACGCCGCGUGAGUGAUGAAGGUCUUCGGAUCGUAAAACUCUGUUAUUAGGGAAGAACAUAUGUGUAAGGAACUGUGCACAUCUUGACGGUACCUAAUCAGAAAGCCACGGCUAACUACGUG